rnacentral:rRNA from 1 species
AGCGAACGUUAGCGGCGCGCCUAACACAUGCAAGUCGCACGAGAAAGGGCUUCGGCCCCGGUACAGUGGCGCACGGGUGAGUAACAUGUUGGUAACCUUCCCCAGAGUGGUGGAUAACCUGCCGAAAGGCGGGCUAAUACAGCAUACGACCGGUUGUCUUCGGGCGAUUGGUGAAAGCAGGCCUCUGUAUACAAGCUUGCUCCCUAGGAUGGGCGCGAGUCCCAUCAGCGAGUUGGUGAGGUACCGGCUCACCAAGGCUACGACGGGUAGCUGGUCUGAGAGGAUGGCCAGCCACACUGGAACUGAGACACGGUCCAGACUCCUACGGGAGGCAGCAGUGGGGAAUCUUGCGCAAUGGACGAAAGUCUGACGCAGCGACGCCGCGUGGGCGACGAAGGCCUUCGGGUUGUAAAGCCCUGUGGGGCGGGACGAACACACUCUAUUCGAACAGGGUAGGGUGCUGACGGUACCGCCUUAGCAAGCACCGGCUAACUCUGUGCCAGCCGCCGCAGUAAGAC